rnacentral:rRNA from 1 species
CAUGACGAACGCUGGCGGCGUGCCUAAUACAUGCAAGUCGAGCGAGCGGAACUAACAGAUUUACUUCGGUAAUGACGUUAGGAAAGCGAGCGGCGGAUGGGUGAGUAACACGUGGGGAACCUGCCCCAUAGUCUGGGAUACCACUUGGAAACAGGUGCUAAUACCGGAUAAGAAAGCAGAUCGCAUGAUCAGCUUUUAAAAGGCGGCGUAAGCUGUCGCUAUGGGAUGGCCCCGCGGUGCAUUAGCUAGUUGGUAAGGUAAAGGCUUACCAAGGCGAUGAUGCAUAGCCGAGUUGAGAGACUGAUCGGCCACAUUGGGACUGAGACACGGCCCAAACUCCUACGGGAGGCAGCAGUAGGGAAUCUUCCACAAUGGACGCAAGUCUGAUGGAGCAACGCCGCGUGAGUGAAGAAGGUUUUCGGAUCGUAAAGCUCUGUUGUUGGUGAAGAAGGAUAGAGGUAGUAACUGGCCUUUAUUUGACGGUAAUCAACCAGAAAGUCACGGCUAACUACGUGCCAGCAGCCGCGGUAAUACGUAGGUGGCAAGCGUUGUCCGGAUUUAUUGGGCGUAAAGCGAGCGCAGGCGGAAGAAUAAGUCUGAUGUGAAAGCCCUCGGCUUAACCGAGGAACUGCAUCGGAAACUGUUUUUCUUGAGUGCAGAAGAGGAGAGUGGAACUCCAUGUGUAGCGGUGGAAUGCGUAGAUAUAUGGAAGAACACCAGUGGCGAAGGCGGCUCUCUGGUCUGCAACUGACGCUGAGGCUCGAAAGCAUGGGUAGCGAACAGGAUUAGAUACCCUGGUAGUCCAUGCCGUAAACGAUGAGUGCUAAGUGUUGGGAGGUUUCCGCCUCUCAGUGCUGCAGCUAACGCAUUAAGCACUCCGCCUGGGGAGUACGACCGCAAGGUUGAAACUCAAAGGAAUUGACGGGGGCCCGCACAAGCGGUGGAGCAUGUGGUUUAAUUCGAAGCAACGCGAAGAACCUUACCAGGUCUUGACAUCUAGUGUCAUUUGUAGAGAUACAAAGUUCCCUUCGGGGACGCUAAGACAGGUGGUGCAUGGCUGUCGUCAGCUCGUGUCGUGAGAUGUUGGGUUAAGUCCCGCAACGAGCGCAACCCUUGUUAUUAGUUGCCAGCAUUAAGUUGGGCACUCUAAUGAGACUGCCGGUGACAAACCGGAGGAAGGUGGGGAUGACGUCAAGUCAUCAUGCCCCUUAUGACCUGGGCUACACACGUGCUACAAUGGGCAGUACAACGAGAAGCGAGCCUGCGAAGGCAAGCGAAUCUCUGAAAGCUGUUCUCAGUUCGGACUGCAGUCUGCAACUCGACUGCACGAAGCUGGAAUCGCUAGUAAUCGCGGAUCAGCACGCCGCGGUGAAUACGUUCCCGGGCCUUGUACACACCGCCCGUCACACCAUGGGAGUCUGCAAUGCCCAAAGCCGGAGGCCUAACCUUCGGGAAGGAGCCGUCUAAGGCGG